UACGUAGGGACCAAGCGUUGUUCGGAUUUACUGGGCGUAAAGGGUGCGUAGGUGGCGUGGUAAGUCGGGUGUGAAAUUUCGGAGCUUAACUCCGAAACUGCAUUCGAUACUGCCGUGCUUGAGGACUGGAGAGGAGACUGGAAUUUACGGUGUAGCAGUGAAAUGCGUAGAGAUCGUAAGGAAGACCAGUGGCGAAGGCGGGUCUCUGGACAGUUCCUGACACUGAGGCACGAAGGCCAGGGGAGCAAACGGG
rnacentral:rRNA from 1 species